rnacentral:rRNA from 1 species
ACUACGGGAGGCAGCAGUGAGGAAUAUUGGUCAAUGGGCGCGAGCCUGAACCAGCCAAGUAGCGUGAAGGAUGACUGCCCUACGGGUUGUAAACUUCUUUUAUAAAGGAAUAAAGUGAGGCACGUGUGCCUUUUUGUCUGUACUUUAUGAAUAAGGAUCGGCUAACUCCGUGCCAGCAGCCGCGGUAAUACGGAGGAUCCGGGCGUUAUCCGGAUGUAGUGGGUUUAAAGGGAGCGUAGAUGGGUUGUUAAGUCAGUGGUGAAAGUUUGCGGCUCAACCGUAAAAUUGCUAUUGAUACUGGCAGUCUUGAGUACAGUGGAGGUAGGCGGAAUUCGUGGUGUAGCGGUGAAAUGCUUAGAUAUCACGAAGAACUCCGAUUGCGAAGGCAGCUUACUAAACUGCCACUGACAUUGAUGCUCGAAAGUGUGGGUAUCAAACAGGAUUAGAUACCCGGGUAGUC